UAUCAAAAGUAUAAUUUUUCCACUUGUUUCGAUUUUAUGCACAUAAUAGUCGUUCAAUUAAACAUUAAAUGCAUCGAUCACUAAAAUCGAGACGAAAACAGCCAUUUGACAAAAACAUUCAAAACAUUUUCAGACAACGGAAAACUUUUCACCAAUACAAAAAAUAGACUUGUCAAUUUGUUCACAGGUGCGGGUCGAAUUGUCUUGAAGCUAGACUAUAUCUGAUUAGUUAAAUUCUCUAUUCAUUUUUAUGAAUAAUAUUACAAAUUUCUUUAAUUUCUCGAAAAGUUCUUGUUUGUUGUCGAAAACAAUAUUUGGUGUGGAAUAAAAGCGAUUCACGGCUCCAAAUGUUUCUUUUGUACAUUCGAAUGAAAUUAGAAAAACAUUUGAAAAAGGGCUUUCUUAAAAAAAAUCCGCCGCCAUGGUUUUAAUUCCCGGUAAGCACAGAGUACAAUUUAAGUUGUCUACAUCUAUGCUCAUUUAUAUAUGUAUGUACGUAACAGCCGGAAGUGUCUUUUCUUGAUCCUUUUUGGAGGGAACUGAGUGGUGGCAAGACGAUUGCGUUGCAACUCUGCAUUGACCACUUACGAUAGUUCAAUAGUAUCACCCGAAGCACGGCCGGUUGUUGUUGUAACAUCUCUUGGGAUUGACUGAUUGAUUGGUUGACGUAAUCGUGGUAAUCGAUGUUUUGUUAUAUGUAGUUGUCUUGCAAGGUGUUUUUUACAAAUUACAUUAGAAAGGUGCAUUCCAUGAAGUGUUAUUUUUCAGAAUAGUUCAACAAAGAAGUGUAUUGUGGUGUUAAUAAUGAAGAUAUAAUGAAAUGUCAAUUAUACAAUAUAAAGUGGCUAUAAAGGGCAGUUGUGUAUUUUUUUUGUGUACGAAACUAGUGUAUUGUGUAAAUGUACAUACAUAUGUAUGUAGAGUAUCACAGAAGGAGAUGAAGUAAAUUGAAGCGAAAAAGCCUGCUUUAGGUUUGAGAUUUCCUUACGCUCGUUGAUCAAGUCCUAACGGAUCUAAUUACUUCAUCGACGCUGAGAGCUUGAUCAAUUCCGAAUUAAAGUGUAACAAAAGUUGUGCCAAAUUGAACAACACAGAAUCAAAUUUUUGAAACGAGCUUUCGGAAAACGAGCCACUAUGCGACUAUUCGAAUAUAAAUAUAUUCCAAAGACGCGAGCGAAUCACAGAUCUCGAUGCAGAAAGCCGGGUGAAACGGCUUGGCCAACGGCCAAGGUGCAGCGCCUAUCAAAGCCGGCACUGUAACCUACAGAGAAGAGAAGAGAAUGGCUGAGUCCAGCAACGCCACAGCGUCGGGAAGCUGUCCCUGUUCAAAGAAGCUUGUGGUACGACUUCAGUGAAUGAAGGAGAUGCCUCAGAGAUAAACGACUCUGCCGUCGGGUGGCACACCGUCCACAUGCACACCACUGGAACGGACGCUACCCAAACGACUGGUGGGAGAUAUCCAGGUAAUGAACUAUGGUCGAGUAUAAAAUGGAGGUAGUUCCCGUCCUUGUGCACCGCCAACUAAAGGGGGAGUGCUAAAACACUCGGAGAGAAUUGCUAUUGCGAAAUUACGGGACCUGCCCGAAAGCUCAGCCAAGGCUCGAGGGCAGACGCAGGACAGUCGGGACGAGACCGGGCAACUGGGCAUUUUCUCAUAGAGGAAAAGCAGUGAACCGCUCCUCCCAAAACUCCUGUGCUCCAUGGUUCCUACCCAGAACACGUACACAAGCACAGACCAAUAGUCAAGGUGCGCUUUCUGCGACCUACCGUGAGGCAGGCAAUAUUCCGAAGGCCCCCCUAGACCCACUAGAUCUCUGAACGCGUUCGAGUACAGUUGUGUGUUCUGGUCUCUACCGCGACACGAGCUCACAAACGUCGACCGACCUAACUUUAGCUUGCCAAUUUCGAACACAAUCUCUGCAGUCUACCGUGACGUGUGCGAUGUAUGCACUGUGGUCUGUACCGAGUCAUACAGAUGGG